rnacentral:rRNA from 1 species
UACGUAGGGGGCAAGCGUUGUCCGGAAUUAUUGGGCGUAAAGAGCUCGUAGGCGGCUUGUCACGUCGGGUGUGAAAGCCCGGGGCUUAACCCCGGGUCUGCAUUCGAUACGGGCAGGCUAGAGUGUGGUAGGGGAGGAUCGGAAUUCCUGGUGUAGCGGUGAAAUGCGCAGAUAUCAGGAGGAACACCGGUGGCGAAGGCGGAUCUCUGGGCCAUUACUGACGCUGAGGAGCGAAAGCGUGGGGAGCGAACAGG